rnacentral:rRNA from 1 species
CCGGGGGGGGGUGCCUAUACAUGCAAGUCGAGCGCGGGAAGCUCAUCUGAUCCCUUCGGGGUGAAGAAGAGUGGAACGAGCGGCGGACGGGUGAGUAACACGUGGGCAACCUGCCUGUAAGAUUGGGAUAACUCGCGGAAACGCGAGCUAAUACCGGAUAAUACUUUUUGUCUCCUGACAAAAAGAUGAAAGGCGGCUUUUAGCUGUCACUUACAGAUGGGCCCGCGGCGCAUUAGCUAGUUGGUGAGGUAACGGCUCACCAAGGCGACGAUGCGUAGCCGACCUGAGAGGGUGAUCGGCCACACUGGGACUGAGACACGGCCCAGACUCCUACGGGAGGCAGCAGUAGGGAAUCUUCCGCAAUGGACGAAAGUCUGACGGAGCAACGCCGCGUGAGUGAUGAAGGUUUUCGGAUCGUAAAACUCUGUUGUCAGGGAAGAACAAGUGCGAGAGUAACUGCUCGCGCCUUGACGGUACCUGACCAGAAAGCCACGGCUAACUACGUGCCAGCAGCCGCGGUAAUACGUAGGUGGCAAGCGUUGUCCGGAAUUAUUGGGCGUAAAGCGCUCGCAGGCGGUCUUUUAAGUCUGAUGUGAAAGCCCACGGCUUAACCGUGGAGGGUCAUUGGAAACUGGAGGACUUGAGUACAGAAGAGGAGAGUGGAAUUCCACGUGUAGCGGUGAAAUGCGUAGAGAUGUGGAGGAACACCAGUGGCGAAGGCGACUCUCUGGUCUGUAACUGACGCUGAGGAGCGAAAGCGUGGGGAGCGAACAGGAUUAGAUACCCUGGUAGUCCACGCCGUAAACGAUGAGUGCUAGGUGUUAGGGGGUUUCCGCCCCUUAGUGCUGAAGUUAACGCAUUAAGCACUCCGCCUGGGGAGUACGGCCGCAAGGCUGAAACUCAAAAGAAUUGACGGGGGCCCGCACAAGCGGUGGAGCAUGUGGGUUUAAUUCGAAGCAACGCGAAGAACCUUACCAGUCUUGACAUCCUCUGACCACCCUAGAGAUAGAGCUUUCCCUUCGGGGACAGAGUGACAGUGUGCAUGGUGUCGUCAGCUCGUGUCGUGAGAUGUUGGGUUAAGUCCCGCAACGAGCGCACCCUGAUCUAGUGCCAGCAUCAGUUGGGCACCUCUAAGUGACUGCCGGUGACA